CGCCUUUUGACUCUUAUAUAAAAGGUCCAUCCUGCCCAGUGAACUACGGUUUCAACGGCCGCGGUACCCUGACCGUGCAAAGGUAGCAUAAUCAUUUGCCUUUUAAUUGGAGGCUUGUAUGAAUGGAUAAACGAAAGACUAAUUGUCUCAAUAUUUUAUAUAUAAAUUAGGCCUCAGGUGAAGACACCUGAAUUCAACUAAAAGACAAGAAGACCCUAUUGAGUUUCACUGAGUACCUCCCUCAAAAUUAUACUUUAUAAAUUCUGAUAAAGCUACCUCAGUUUGGUUGGGGCAACCGGGGAAAACUAACUCAUCCCCCACAUAUACGAGCCUAUCUCCACGUAUAAUCCACUUUAGUGAAUUAAGAAUAACACUACCAUAGGGAUAACAGGCUAAUCUCCUUAGAGAGUUCAUAUUGACAAGGAGGAUUGGCACCUCGAUGUUGGCUUAGGGCAUCCCUCAAAUGCAGCAGUUUGAGAAGGUCGGUUUGUUCAACCGUUAAAGCCCUACGUG
rnacentral:rRNA from 1 species